rnacentral:misc_RNA from 1 species
GAUGAAGAACGCAGCGAAAUGCGAUAAGUAAUGUGAAUUGCAGAAUUCAGUGAAUCAUCGAAUCUUUGAACGCUCAUUGCGCCCGCCAGUAUUCUGGCGGGCAUGCCUGUUCGAGCGUCAUUUCAACCAUCAAGCCCCAGGCUUGCGUUGGAGCCCUGCGGCUGCCGCAGCCUCCCAAAACCAGUGGCGGGCUCGCUAUCACACCGAGUGCAGUAGUUUACUCUUCGCUCAGGGCGUGUGGCGGGUGCUAGCCGUAAAACCCCCAACUUCUCAAGGUUGACCUCGGAUCAGGUAGGAAUACCCGCUGAACUUAAGCAUAUCAAUAAGCGGAGGA